AACGUAGGUCCCGAGCGUUAUCCGGAUUUACUGGGCGUAAAGCGUGUUCAGGCGGUCUAGCAAGUCGGGCAUGAAAUCUCUCGGCUCAACCGGGAGGGGUUGUCCGAUACUGCUGGGCUUGAGGGCAGCAGAGGGUGGUGGAAUUCCGGGUGUAGUGGUGAAAUGCGUAGAUAUCCGUAGGAACAUCCGAGGCGAAGGCGGCUCGCUGGAUCACAACUGACGCUGAGGGACGAAAGCUAGGGGAGCAAACAGG
rnacentral:rRNA from 1 species